AUUGAACGCUGGCGGCGUGCCUAAUACAUGCAAGUCGAACGCAGUGGGGACGGGUGAGUAACACGUGGGUAACCUCCCAUCAGAGGGGAUAACCCUUGGAAACAGGUGCUAAACCGAUCCUGAUGGCUGGACCCGCGUUGCAUUAGCGAGUUGGUGAGGUAACGGCUAACCAAGGCCACGAGGCAUAGCCGACCUGAGAGGGUGAUCGGCCACACUGGGACUGAGACACGGCCCAGACUCCUACGGGAGGCAGCAGUAGGGAAUCUUCGGCAAUGGACGAAAGUCUGACCGAGCAACGCCGCGUGAGUGAAGAAGGUUUUCGGAUCGUAAAACUCUGUUGUUAGAGAAGCGGUAUCUAACCAGAAAGCCACGGCUAACUACGUGCCAGCAGCCGCGGUAAUUC
rnacentral:rRNA from 1 species